ACCAAAUCAUUUCUUCUCCCUCCGAAGAAAAACCCUAAGGAGCACGCACUCACGCACGCACCAUCUCUCAUCUUCUCUCACGAUUAGUCUACUACACCAAGGUAGAGACUAAUCGUCAAAAGUCAAACCACCCUAGGGAUUCGCAUACUCUCACACUAUCGUCACCGAUUCUACAAUGUCGUCGGAGAUCGAGGUGGUUGAAGAAGUCGAAUCUAAUACUCUCAAGGAGAAGGGCGAAUCGAGUUCCAAACCGGUUGAAGAAGACGAGAGCUUGAAGAACGAUGUGUACACAGCCUCGGCUUAUGGCGAUUUGGAGAAGCUUCAUAGAUUGGUUGAGUGUGAGGGCUGCUCUGUCUCUGAGCCCGAUGGGCUUGGAUACUAUGCUCUUCAGUGGUCUGCUUUGAAUAACCGUACUGCCGUUGCCCAGUACAUUAUCGAGCACGGUGGAGAUGCUAACGCGACGGAUCAUACUGGACAGACCGCGUUGCAUUGGAGUGCUGUUCGUGGUGCUAUACAAGUUGCUGAGCUUUUGUUACAAGAGGGUGCUAGGGUAGAUGCUACAGAUAUGUAUGGGUAUCAGCCAACACAUGUUGCAGCACAAUAUGGCCAGACUGCUUUUCUCUGCCACGUCGUCUCCAAGUGGAAUGCUGAUCCCGAUGUCCCCGAUAAUGACGGAAGAAGCCCAUUGCACUGGGCUGCAUAUAAAGGCUUUGCAGAUUCCAUUCGCCUUCUUUUAUUUUUAGACGCAUAUAGAGGACGGCAGGACAAAGAAGGUUGCACUCCUUUGCAUUGGGCUGCCAUUCGAGGUAAUUUGGAGGCUUGUACUGUAUUAGUUCAGGCUGGGAAGAAAGAGGAUUUGAUGAUUACUGACAAUACCGGGCUUACUCCCGCACAACUUGCUGCUGAAAAGAAUCACCGACAAGUUUCGUUUUUCCUUGGUAAUGCGAGAAGGCUGCUUGAAAAGCGGUGUGACGGAAGCACUCCCAUCGGAAAAUUGUCAAAGUUGGGACUUGCUCCAGUUCUUUGGUUCAUGAUCCUACUGCUUCUACUCAUAUAUACUAAUUCUGUUAUUUUGGCAUCCAAUCUGCCAAAGCUAACAACUGGGAUUGGUUCGCUUGCGUGGCUGGGAUUCUUUCUUGCAACAGCAGGGCUAGCUUUGUUUUACCGUUGUAGCAAAAAGGAUCCAGGCUACAUCAGAAUGAACAGACAUGAUCCGCAGACCAUGAAAGAUGAUGAACCACUGUUGAAAAUAGAGCUAAACAACCCUGCUUUGCUUACUGGGAACUGGACGCAGCUCUGUGCAACAUGCAAGAUAAUCAGGCCUCUUCGAGCUAAGCAUUGUUCCACCUGUGAUCGUUGUGUUGAGCAAUUUGAUCACCAUUGUCCCUGGGUAUCAAACUGUGUUGGAAAAAAAAACAAGUGGGACUUUUUUCUAUUUCUUCUACUUGAAGUUCUAGCGAUGCUGAUAACUGGAGGCGUCACUCUUGCAAGAGUCUUGAGUGACCCUUCAGCUCCAUCGUCGUUUGGAGCAUGGGUGAGCCAUGUCGCUAGUAAUCACGUGGGUGCAUUAUCCUUUCUGAUUGUUGAGUUUUGCCUCUUCUUUUCAGUUGCCGUCUUAACAGUCGUUCAAGCGUCUCAGAUAUCAAGAAAUAUAACCACAAACGAAAUGGCUAAUGCACUGCGCUAUAGCUACCUAAGAGGCCCAGGAGGUCGGUUCAGGAAUCCAUACGAUCUCGGUUGCAGAAGAAACUGCUCGGAUUUCUUGAUCAAAGGUUAUAAUGAAGAUAUUGAGUGUCAUGAAGAAGACGCAACACCAAGACAAGAGGGUAUUAGCAUGAUGCAGAUGCAGCGGAGUUCUAAUCUUCAGAAUGGCAAUGGCCACGUUGCUAUUGAUGUUAACCCCGUACAUAAUUCGCAGUCAGCACAUGUUCAUUCUUCAAACUGCAGCCAUAACCAUAGCAGCAAGCCAAAGAGUGAUAGUGUUCCUUUAGGUCUGGGACUUGGUCUUGGCCGGAACCCAACCCGACCUGUUGUACCUCCAUGAUAUGGUCAUCACCCAAAAUGUGCAUUUGUGUUGUAAGAAACACGUGUGUCCUCUUGUCUAAGUCGUUAUAACAUCCCAUUCUGGUGAAGAUAGUUUACAGAAAUGGUUGUACGUUAUGUUUUCCACGUUGAGAUUACACAUGUAACAACGAACUACAAAGGGGAGAAGAAAGACUGCUGUUGUGUAUGAUGAUGAUUAACAUGAGAGAUGAGGGUGCAAACAACUUGGCAGAGAAUUUGUGACCUAAUACUACGUUGAUAGUGUGUUAGGCAAGUUGUAUUGCAUUUCGAUUUGCAAGUUUAAUGGUAAUCUGCCACAAGAUCGAAGCUGGUUUGUAACAAAAUGCGAUGGUCAUGCCAUGAAAAACUAGUUGGACACUGCCCAAAUAUUUAAAGAUUGUACUACACCUAAAGAGUCUACAUACAUACUUGUUACUGUACUA